UUUUUUCAAUCAAUAAAUAUUUUUCUCUCUUUUCGUCACAAACCGGUUGGAAAUUGGAAUAGCCACCACCGGAGUUUUUCAUUCUCAUUCGUAUUCAAUCCCAAUGCGAUUUUCGGCCGUCGCAACAAAAAGCAACGUACCAGCGAUUCAGUUCCGUCGAACCACUAUCCCCGAUUGACAGCAUAGAAAUCUCACACAACAAUACUGAACAAUGCUGGGAUUUUCUUAUGGAGAAAUAUUUCUAUUGCUGGGAGCCACUGCUGCUCUGAUUGGUCCAAAGGAUUUGCCAAUCAUAUCCAGAACAGCUGGGAGGAUAGCCGGCCGGGCUGUUGCAUAUGUACAAUUGGCCCGAGGACAGGUUCAAUCUGUUAUGCAGCAAUCUCAAGCUAACCAGCUUCAUAAGGAACUUCACGGACUGAUGUCACAAGUAGAUGCUAUUAAACAUGAAGUUCGAAGUCUAUCAUUCAUAAAUCCUGGCCCUUUAACUCGGAGCCUUGAUAAUCGCGACCAGCCAUCUAUCUUAAAUGACCACAGGAAACCGGAAGGUGCUGGGGUGAAUCUCUCAAUAUCGUCUCUUACCAAGGAUUCGACUCCAUUGCCGUCCAAUUCAUUCAAUAUGCAAAGCCAAGCAACUACAUAUGCCAGGUUGGCCGAGGCUCCUUCCGUAAAGAAUGGUCCAUUGGCAAGUAGCGCUGAAGUUGAGAAGAUUAAAGAUGGUCUGCAGCUUAUUGUCUUGCCAGUUUCCGCUGAAAGUACUGGAUUCUUACCAAAUCGCAGGGGAGCUGAUGUGAAAGGUUCUGACAUAGUCCAAGAAGCAAUUUUGGAAGCAGAGGUAGCUCAUAAAGCAAAGGAGUUCUUUUCUCAGCCCGAGAAUCAGCCUGAAAAUCAAAGAUGAUCGAUAUAGUAAUCCUAUAUAAUACCUUAACUUUUUCAGAUGUUAGCAUUUGUAGAUUCACAAUGAUACAUAUUUAGUCUAUAUUUUAUCUUGAAGGUAUUGGUUGAUGCAUUGUCAUUUCUUUAAGUUUCUAGGUCUUGUUCCUCAGGGCAGAAAAUCUAAAGGAUUGUUUGUGCUUUAACAAUUUGAAGUUACUAGAUCUUCUAUUGAUGCCAUUUCUUAAUAACUUCCACCACCAUGCUUGACACCAUGGUUAUCAUUCAGAUUUUUUAAUGUAAAGAAAUAUUUUUCAAAUUGUGAAGUGAAUCUUAUUAUGAACCAUAAAGAUAUAUAAUCAAUAAAAAUGUGAUACUUUUUUAAAAUGAGAAACGGUGUUGCUCCAUGUCAUUUUUUAUCUUGACUGUAAAGUAUUUGCUUAUCAAUCCCUUUGCCUGUAUUGUGUCUGAUUAUUAAUGAAAUGUGCUGAUUUACUCGCUUAUCAGGAAAAAAUAGUACUAAGGAAAAAGCCCAAGUUGAUAGAAUGUUGAAUAAUUCAAAAUUUAAGUCAUAAAUCUAGAUGGAAAAGGUGGUUGCCUAGACAAUGUUUAUGGGCAAGUUGUAGUUCACCAGAGUUAACUAGGAUUCAUACAUUUAUUAUCCAAAAAAGAUAUGCAUAGUGAUUUAUAUUGAUUAUGUUUAAUUUUGUUUUGAAUUGAGAUACAUUUGCAUGUAUUUUAAUAUGUUCAUAACCAUGCUUGAUGCUAUUUGUCACGACUAAGCACUUUCCCUUUGUAUUACUAUAGUCAAAAUUGAUUACAACCAUUAAGGUGUAUACUUGUCCAAUCAACAAUACCUUAGAUUUACAUCACAAAAAAUAUGACUUAAACAAGUCUCAUUGUCUUCUCAAGGAUACAUGCUUCAGCUAAACUCUUUGAGGAAUUACAUCUUUGGAAUUAAAGUGUUUGAAUGCAUGCAAAAUAACUCUGAAAAGUGAGGUUGGUAGCAUGGUUAUGGACACGGCAUACUAUUGGUUUGUGAAUGCACUUGAAGCUAGGACUUGAUUACUUGAAGAAGCAGCAACAUGGUUAUGUAAAGAGGAAGUGAAAAGGAAAUGGAAGCUUUGAAGUGGAGCUGAGCUGGAACAGGUCUUAGGUAGUCAGAAAAGUCAAUGGUCAACAGUUAACCAAAGUCAACUGUUUCACAAAAGUGUGUUUUUUCAUGUACUUCAAAUUUUGUUAUGUAAAUUCCAUUUUUGCAAUGUAUCCUUGAAUUUGACCUUGACCUUUGUAUGUUUAACUUCUCUCUUGUUUCUUGUAGUUGAUGUAAUUAAUUUAAAUGAACAAUGAUAGUCUUGCUUCUUGAAUAAA